rnacentral:lncRNA from 1 species
AUGGGCUGGGACAUCUUCACUCCACCACUCCCCCACUACUCCUUCACUCCUUCACUCCUUCACUCCCCCACUCCUUCACUCCCUCACUCCUUCACUCCUUCACUCCUUCACUCCUUCUCCUUCACUCCCUUCCCCCACUCCUUCACUCCCCCCACUCCUUCACUCCUUCACCUCCCCCACUCCUUCACUCCUUCACUCUCACUCCUUCACUCCCCCACUCCCUCACUCCUUCACUCCCCCACUCCUUCACUCCUUCACUCCUUCACUCCCCCACUCCUUCACUCCCCCACUCCUUCACUCCCCCACUCCUUCACUCCUUCACUCCCCCACUCCUUCACUCCUCCCCCCCACUCCUUCACUCCUUCACUCCCCCCCACUCCUUCACUCCUUCACUCCCUCACUCCUUCACUCCUUCACUCCUUCACUCCUUCACUCCCCCACUCCACCACUCCCCCACUCCUUCACUCCCCCCCACUCCUUCACUCCCCCACUCCUUCACUCCUUCACUCCCCCACUCCUUCACUCCUUCACUCCUUCACUCCCCCACUCCUUCACUCCUUCACUCCCCCACUCCCCCACUCCCUCACUCCUUCACUCCCCCACUCCUUCACUCCCUCACUCCUUCACUCCUUCACUCCUUCACUCCCCCACUCCUUCACUCCUUCACUCCCCCACUCCUUCACUCCCCCACUCCCUCACUCCUUCACUCCCCCACUCCUUCACUCCCCCACUCCUUCACUCCCUCACUCCUUCACUCCCCCACUCCUUCACUCCCUCACUCCUUCACUCCUUCACUCCUUCACUCCUUCACUCCCCCACUCCCUCACUCCUUCACUCCCCCACUCCUUCACUCCCCCACUCCUUCACUCCCUCACUCCUUCACUCCUUCACUCCCUCACUCCUUCACUCCCCCACUCCCUCACUCCUUCACUCCCCCACUCCUUCACUCCUUCACUCCUUCACUCCCUCACUCCUUCACUCCCCCACUCCUUCACUCCCUCACUCCUUCACUCCACCACUCCCCCACUUGAUCCUAGCAGAAGUUUUCCCCGAGGAGACCAGAGCAGAGGGAGGGGUUCCCAGUGUCUGGUCCGAGGACCGCCGCAGGCCCCCGAGAAGCCCACAGUGGGUCCCAUGCAACAAUACUUGUUGUAUAAUAAAGUUGAAGAAUGA